GACGAACCGUGCGAACGUUAUUCGGAAUCAUUGGGCUUAAAGGGCGCGUAGGCGGGCGACCGCGUCGAGUGCUGAAAGCCCCCGGCUUAACCGGGGAAUGGGCCUCGAUACGGGUCGCCUCGAGGCGAGGAGGGGGACCUGGAACUUCCGGUGGAGCGGUGAAAUGCGUUGAGAUCGGAAGGAACGCCGACGGCGAAAGCAAGGUCCUGGACUCGCCCUGACGCUGAGGCGCGAAAGCCAGGGGAGCAAACGGG
rnacentral:rRNA from 1 species